CUGUGCCGUCCGUAACGUUGUCGAUUUUUGUAUUCCGGGGCCAUGAUGCCCCGGCCUCAUUGAA
rnacentral:misc_RNA from 1 species